CCUCACAAGAAACUUACAAGGGAUUCCUGCAUGUUUUCAACCCUCCAAUUAUGAUCAGCUGAGCAAAUGUGCUCCAGAGUUGGUGAUGAAAACCAGAGGACACUGCGGGACAAAGACAAGGCCUCUGUUGCCCAGGCUGGAGUGCAGCGGUGCAAUCAGCUUACUGCAGCCACGAACUCCUGGGUUCAAGUGAUCCUCCAGCCUUGGCCUCCCAAAGCAACGAGACUACAAGUGUGAGCCACCACGCCCAGCCCUAGUUUUUCUUUUAUCAAUAGAAUUGAUUUUUAGAACAGCAUACUAAGUUUAAUUUCUCGAGCAGUCUCUCCCUGUGUCCUUAAACUAAAUUUCACAGGGAAGGUAGAUCCCUCUCCUAAUCCAUCUUCACCAAAAUUUCCUGCUGUGUUGCUUGGAGCUCUCUUCACAUACCACUCAUAAAUAGAAGAAAAUUGAUUCCCACGUAUUUUGGAAACCCAUCCAAUUCAUAAAUGGGCGUUCACUGGAGGCUGGCAACUUGCUCCCCCCAUAUUUAAUUCAUCACCAACACCUCCUAAACAUAUUCCAAACCCACUCAAUUCUGGGUAUCUCCACCAUCUCUUUCUUAAUAAAAAACACUGUCACUCCUUGCCCAGCUGAUAGUAACAGCCUCCGAACUCUGCUUUCACUUGGGCACCCCUCAACCCAUUUUCAA